rnacentral:rRNA from 1 species
AUGGCCUACGGGACGCAGCAGUGGGGAAUAUUGCACAAUGGGGGAAACCCUGAUGCAGCGACGCCGCGUGAGCGAAGAAGUAUUUCGGUAUGUAAAGCUCUAUCAGCAGGGAAGAAAAAAAUGACGGUACCUGAGUAAGAAGCACCGGCUAAAUACGUGCCAGCAGCCGCGGUAAUACGUAUGGUGCAAGCGUUAUCCGGAUUUAUUGGGUGUAAAGGGCGUGUAGGCGGGAAAGCAAGUCAGAUGUGAAAACUCAGGGCUCAACCCUGAGCCUGCAUUUGAAACUGUUUUUCUUGAGUGCUGGG